CCCUUAGAUGUUCUGGGCCGCACGCGCGCUACACUGACGAAUGCAACGAGCUUAUAACCUUGGCCGAAAGGUCUGGGUAAUCUCCAAAUUUCGUCGUGAUGGGGAUAGAUUAUUGCAAUUAUUAAUCUUCAACGAGGAAUGCCUAGUAAGCGCAAGUCAUCAGCUUGCGUUGAUUACAUCCCUGCCCUUUGUGCACACCGCCCGUCGCUCCUACCGAUUGAAUGGUCCGGUGAAGCGUUCGGACCGUGGCCUUUGGACGGUUCGCCGUCUGUUGGCUGCGGGAAGUUCGUUAAACCUUAUCAUUUAGAGGAAGGAGAAGUCGUAACA
rnacentral:rRNA from 1 species